CAGCAGCCGCGGGAAUACGGAGGAUCCAAGCGUUAUCCGGAUUUAUUGGGUUUAAAGGGUGCGUAGGUGGCCUGUUAAGUCAGGGGUGAAAGACGGUAGCUCAACUAUCGCAGUGCCCUUGAUACUGACGGGCUUGAAUGGACUAGAGGUAGGCGGAAUGUGACAAGUAGCGGUGAAAUGCAUAGAUAUGUCACAGAACACCAAUUGCGAAGGCAGCUUACUAUGGUUUGAUUGACACUGAGGCACGAAAGCGUGGGGAUCAAACAGGAUUAGAUACCCCAGUAGUCCCUGUCUCUUAUAC
rnacentral:rRNA from 1 species